GUGUAAUUUAGUGGUCAGAGUGUUGGACUUGGAUUCGGGAGACCUAGGUUCAAAUCCCUACUUAGCUACA